rnacentral:rRNA from 1 species
UACGAAGGGUGCAAGCGUUAUCCGGAUUCAUUGGGUUUAAAGGGUGCGUAGGCGGCUUUGUAAGUCAGUGGUGAAAUAUGGCAGCUCAACUGUCAAGGUGCCAUUGAUACUGCGGAGCUUGAGUACAGAUGAGGUAGGCGGAAUUGACGGUGUAGCGUGAAAUGCUUAGAUAUCGUCAAGAACACCUAUAGCGAAGGCAGCUUACUAGGCUGUAACUGACGCUGAGGCACGAAAAGUGUGGGGAUCAAACAGG